CGAGUCUGAUGGAGCAUGCCGCGUGAGUGAAGAAGGGUUUCGGCUCGUAAAACUCUGUUGUUAAAGAAGAACACCUUUGAGAGUAACUGUUCAAGGGUUGACGGUAUUUAACCAGAAAGCCACGGCUAACUACGUGCAAGCAGCCGCGGUAAUACGUAGGUGGCAAGCGUUGUCCGGAUUUAUUGGGCGUAAAGCGAGCGCAGGCGGUUUUUUAAGUCUGAUGUGAAAGCCUUCGGCUUAACCGGAGAAGUGCAUCGGAAACUGGGAGACUUGAGUGCAGAAGAGGACAGUGGAACUCCAUGUGUAGCGGUGGAAUGCGUAGAUAUAUGGAAGAACACCAGUGGCGAAGGCGGCUGUCUAGUCUGUAACUGACGCUGAGGCUCGAAAGCAUGGGUAGCGAACAGGAUUAGAUACCCUGGUAGUCCAUGCCGUAAACGAUGAGUGCUAAGUGUUGGAGGGUUUCCGCCCUUCAGUGCUGCAGCUAACGCAUUAAGCACUCCGCCUGGGGAGUACGACCGCAAGGUUGAAACUCAAAGGAAUUGACGGGGGCCCGCACAAGCGGUGGAGCAUGUGGUUUAAUUCGAAGCUACGCGAAGAACCUUACCAGGUCUUGACAUCUUCUGCCAAUCUUAGAGAUAAGACGUUCCCUUCGG
rnacentral:rRNA from 2 species